rnacentral:rRNA from 1 species
GACGAACGCUGGCGGCGUGCUUAACACAUGCAAGUCGAACGCUGAAGGCCUGGCUUUUGUUGGGUUGGAUGAGUGGCGAACGGGUGAGUAACACGUGAGUAACCUGCCCUCUUCUUUGGGAUAACGCCCGGAAACGGGUGCUAAUACUGGAUAUUCACUGAUCUUCGCAUGGGGGUUGGUGGAAAGGUUUGUUCUGGUGGGGGAUGGGCUCGCGGCCUAUCAGCUUGUUGGUGGGGUGAUGGCCUACCAAGGCUUUGACGGGUAGCCGGCCUGAGAGGGUGACCGGUCACAUUGGGACUGAGAUACGGCCCAGACUCCUACGGGAGGCAGCAGUGGGGAAUAUUGCACAAUGGGCGAAAGCCUGAUGCAGCGACGCCGCGUGAGGGAUGGAGGCCUUCGGGGUGUAAACCUUUUUCGCUCAUGGUCAAGCCGCAACUGUGGGUUGUGGUGAGGGUAGUGGGUAAAGAAGCGCCGGCUAACUACGUG